UACUUAUCCAGAGAGGUAGAGGGACUGGCCCUAUGACACCUCAGCAGCGGGUUCUGUAAUAGGAACACCGUGCUAAUUCCAGCAAGCAAGUCUUGAAAGAUAAGUG
rfam:Bacillus thuringiensis serovar israelensis ATCC 35646 sq1928, whole genome shotgun sequence.